CGGCGGCCACAGCGGCAGGGAAACGCCCGGUCCCAUUCCGAACCCGGAAGCUAAGCCUGCCAGCGCCGAUGAUCGGGCGGGGGCGCUCAGUCGAAGAGCGUCAAGUCUGCGGGCGCCCGGCU
rnacentral:rRNA from 1 species